rnacentral:misc_RNA from 1 species
GAUGAAGAACGUAGCGAAAUGCGAUAAGUAAUGUGAAUUGCAGAAUUCAGUGAAUCAUCGAAUCUUUGAACGCACAUUGCGCCCGCCAGUAUUCUGGCGGGCAUGCCUGUCCGAGCGUCAUUUCAACCAUCAAGCCCCGGGCUUGUGUUGGGGACCUGCGUCCGACGCAGGCCCUGAAAACCAGUGGCGGGCUCGCUGUCCACACCGAGCGUAGUAACUAACCUCGCUAUGGAGUGGCGCGGGCGCCUGCCGUAAAACCUCCAAUUUCACAAGGUUGACCUCGGAUCAGGUAGGAAUACCCGCUGAACUUAAGCAUAUCAAUAAGCGGAGGA